GGAAUUUUGGACAAUGGGGGCAACCCUGAUCCAGCGACGCCGCGUGAAGGAUGAAGGUCUUCGGAUUGUAAACUUCUUUUAUCUGGGAAUAAGAAACUUAUGGAAACAUCGGGAGUGACUGUACCAGGUGAAUAAGCAACGGCUAACUUCGUGCCAGCAGCCGCGGUAAUACGAAGGUUGCAAGCGUUACUAGGAAUUACUAGGCGUAAAGUGCAGGUAGGUGGUUUGGUAAGUCUGUUGUGAAAGCUCCUGGCUUAACUGGGAGAGGUCAAUAGAUACUACCGGACUUGAGUAUAGGAGAGGUUACGGGAAUUCCCGGUGUAGCGGUGAAAUGCGCAGAGAUCGGGAGGAACACCAAUGGCGAAAGCAGGUAACUGGACUAUUACUGACGCUAAGCUGCGAAAGCUAGGGGAGCAAA
rnacentral:rRNA from 1 species